ACGAACGCUGGCGGCGUGCUUCACACCUGCCAGUCGAACGGAAAGGCCCUGCUUUUGUGGGGUGCUCGAGUGGCGAACGGGUGAGUAACACGUGAGUAACCUGCCCUUGACUUUGGGAUAACUUCAGGAAACUGGGGCUAAUACCGGAUAGGAGCUCCUGCUGCAUGGUGGGGGUUGGAAAGUUUCGGCGGUUGGGGAUGGACUCGCGGCUUAUCAGCUUGUUGGUGGGGUAGUGGCUUACCAAGGCUUUGACGGGUAGCCGGCCUGAGAGGGUGACCGGCCACAUUGGGACUGAGAUACGGCGCAGACUCCUACGGGAGGCAGCAGUGGGGAAUAUUGCACAAUGGGCGGAAGCCUGAUGCAGCAACGCCGCGUGCGGGAUGACGGCCUUCGGGUUGUAAACCGCUUUCGCCUGUGACGAAGCGUGAGUGACGGUAAUGGGUAAAGAAGCACCGGCUAACUACGUG
rnacentral:rRNA from 1 species